rnacentral:rRNA from 1 species
CAUUACCGAAUUGUCAACWCGAGCUGUCGCUGGUCUUCAAACGAGGGCAUGAGCACGCUGUGUUKACACAUCCACUCACACCUGUGCMCACCCCCUGUAGUUCUGUGGUUUGGAAGGCUUCUGUCUUCCUUCUGCAGUCCUAUGUCUUUACACACACACACACACGUUGAAAAAGUCAUAUGGAAUGUUUUGAUGCRAUGUAACAAUACAACUUUCAGCAACGGAUCUCUUGGCUCUCGCAUCGAUGAARAACGCAGCSAAAUGCGAUAAGUAAUGUGAAUUGCAGAAUUCAGUGAAUCAUCSAAUCUUUGAACGCACCUUGCGCCCUUUGGCUAUUCUGAAGGGCAUGCCUGUUUGAGUAUCAUGAACACCUCAACUCCUCGUGGUUUGCCACGAUGAGCUUGGACUUUGGGGGUCUGUUGGCCUAUGCGGUCAGCUCCCCUCAAAUGAAUCAKCUUGCCAGUGUUUGGUGGCAUCRUGGGUGUGAUAACUAUCUACGCUCGUGGUCGUUCGCCGUGUAUCCUCUGUUCGCAGAGGUCCACCGGAGCUUAUAAACGUCUCUCCUCAGCGAAGACAACCAUCUGAAGUUCGAUCUCAAAUCAGGUAGGACUACCCGCUGAACUUAAGCAUAUCAAUAAGCCGGGAGRGAR